GUGAACAUAAUCCAAGAGACCCCUGGUUUGAUCGAUGACUCCGGGCACAUCCUUUGGGGGCGGCAAGAGAGGGGAUCCAAGUGUUAAGAGCAGCGAGAUAUGUGAUGACGAUGAUCCUCCAAAUUCAUCCAUGUAAAGGCGAGCAAGCCAGCCUCCAGCUGAGUGUCCUAUCAGCGAUAUUCCAGUACCCCCCUCCUUAGCUUCAGAGACGGCCUCCUCCACCCUUUCGAGAUACCAAUCAAGGACGGGUCUCGGAGAUAGGGUACCCCUCCAGUAAUUGGGGUCGAUCAGUCCAGCG
rnacentral:misc_RNA from 1 species